CAGGCUAUGGAGUUUGGAGUAGCCUUUGAACUCAGCUAUAUUUUAGUGAUUCUGCUCUGUACAACAUGUGGAAAAAUGGAGAAAAUAUAGAAAAGUCAAUAGUAAAGACUUUCAAGGCUGGACCUCCUGGAAAGUGUGGCUUGUAUUUUGUUUCUGAUUCUCCUCUUCCUGUUUUCUGUUCAACCCACUUCUUUUCAAGUUGUGGUAGCUACACUCAAGUGGCACUGCUUUUGUGAGUAUUAUCAAUACUAACAGAGGCUUUGACUUAAUUAGUUUGGGAUGGGGCA